UGACGACAAUAGCAAAGGAUAGCUAGGUAUAAUGUAGCAAUAGCAUUAUGUAUACGUGGGUUCCAUAAUACGGAUGAAGAGGAGAGACAAUAAGUAAUUACCUUUGACGGGAAUAAAAUUAUAUCAUUAGUUUACCGAUCAUUCAUAUUUAACUCACAUGCUCUGCCAACCAUGCAUACGUAUUGAGAUGUGAAUCGGCUCAUAUAUAAUAACAACACCAAUCGUAAUUUAUACCACUUAAUUAUUAUUAACAGGUCUGAUCUUUUUAAAAUAUAUAUAUAUAUAUAUUUUCUCAGGUGCAGAUGUCCAUAUAUAUGGAGAUGUGAAAAUUCAAUUGAAAAGUGAGUGUAAAGUGAAAAUCCGCACCGUAAGAAUAAAAGCGGACGUCCGCAGCUGAGAAGCUCUGUGUGUGUGUGUGUAUAUAUAUAUAUAUAUAUAUUAUACUAAACUGUUAGAAGUUAUAUUCUGUUGUCA
rnacentral:lncRNA from 1 species